rnacentral:lncRNA from 1 species
UUUUUUCCUAAAAUAUCACAUUUAAUCAGACGACGAAAGGCUGCAAUGAGCCUUGGGUCCAUGAGAGGACAGAGCCAACUGAGAGACCAUUAUUGAGUUUUUUUUUCUUCUUCUUCUCUUCUUCUUCGUAUGUAAGGUCUGACGAUUGAGAGUCAUGCAUGAAUUGAUAGAGAGAUUGUAUAAAAAUGGUGCAAGUGCAUAGAUGCAAAGUCAACGGACGAGAAUGAGCCUUUGUUAAUUAUUGAGAUGGUCGUUGACUUCGUUAUUGUACGUUGUUAUAACUUUUAAUGUAUUUUAAGUUGUAUGCCUUGUAUAUAUAUAUUCAUCUUGCAUAGUUUUGUUGUUUUCUUUAUAUAUAGAGUAGUUUGUUUUUUCCUUCAUUUUGCAUAGAUGAAUUCAUUAGAGUUGUACACAUGGUUUUGGGUGCAAGUUACUACAAUAUAGAUUCGAGUAUUCGACCUUUUCGGAAGUUUUAUUUUUUAUCCUGUAAAUGAACGAGCCACUAUAAAGCCUUUGGUUAGAAGGGUUUAAUUCGUUCAAAGGGGGAAAACAGAAUUAAAACAUUUUAAAGAUAAAUGUUUUAUUAUGAUAUUGGAACAUAACAUCACAAUCUUUGCAGAAACAAAAGAGAAAGAAGGACGACACGAGAGAAAUAAAUAAACUCAAGAGAGAAACACAAUCCGAAGAUGAAUUGAAACGCAUCUCAGAAGAGGAAAGACAAAGCACC